rnacentral:rRNA from 1 species
AUGGUCAAGCUAAUAAGAGCGCAGGGUGGAUGCCUUGGCACUAAGAGCCGAUGAAAGACGUGAUAAGCUGCGAUAAGCUGCGGUGAGGAGCAAAUAUCCUUUGACCCGCAGAUUUCUGAAUGGGGAAACCUGGCGGAGUAUUCCUCCGUUACUAUUAAGUGAAUCCAUAGCUUAAUAGAGGGAACCCGGGGAACUGAAACAUCUAAGUACCCGGAGGAAAAGAAAGAAAACUCGAUUUCCAAAGUAGCGGCGAGCGAAAUGGAAACAGCCUAAACCGAAGAAUUUAUUCUUCGGGUUAUGGACCGCAACAAGUGAGUCGUACGGUAGCAGAAUGGUUUUGGGAAAGCCAGCCAGAGAGAGUGAAAGCCUCGUAAGCGAAACCGGAAGACAGCGAGCGGGAUCCGAAGUACCACGAGACACGAGAAACCUUGUGGGAAGUCGGGGGGACCACCCCCAAGGCUAAAUACUACUUAGUGACCGAUAGUGCAUAGUACUGUGAAGGAAAGGUGAAAAGAACCCCGGGAGGGGAGUGAAAGAGAACCUGAAACCCUGUGUUUACAAGCUGUGGAACACCUAUUUAAAGGUGAACCGCGUACUUUUUGUAGAACGGUCCGGCGAGUUACAUUUACUGGCAAGGUUAAGGUCGAAAAGACUGAAGCCGAAGGGAAACCAAGUCUGAACAGGGCGAAUUUAGUCAGUGUAUGUAGACCCGAAACCGGGUGAUCUACCCAUGUCCAGGUUGAAGCUGCCGUAAAAGGUGGUGGAGGACCGAACACACAUCCGUUGAAAAGGGUGGUGAUGAGGUGUGGGUAGGGGAGAAAUUCCAAUCGAACCCGGAGAUAGCUGGUUCUCCUCGAAAUAGCUUUAGGGCUAGCCUUGAUUUAGUCUGAUGGAGGUAGAGCACUGAAUAUCCUAGGGGGCGUCAAAGCUUACCGAAGAUUAUCAAACUCCGAAUGCCAUACAGAUGAUGAUCAGGAGUCAGACUACACGAGAUAAGUUGGGUAGUCAAAAGGGAAAAAGCCCAGACCACCAGCUAAGGUCCCAAAGUGCGUGUUAAGUGGAAAAGGAUGUGGGAUUUCGAAAACAACUAGGAUGUUGGCUUAGAAGCAGCCAUACAUUAAAAGAGUGCGUAAUAGCUCACUAGUCGAGAGGUCCUGCGCCGAAAAUGUCCGGGGCUAAAACACGACACCGAAGCUGUGGAAAAUGUCUGUCUUUCAGACAGCCAUGAGAAAUAAUCCUUACGGAUUAUUUCCGGUUAUCUGAAGGGCAGAGGUUUUGGUAGAGGAGCAUUCUUAACUGCGACGAAGCGUUACCGGAAGGAGACGUGGAGUGUUAAGAAGAGAGAAUGCCGGAAUGAGUAGCGAGAUAGAAGUGAGAAUCUUCUAGGCCGAAUAUCCAAGGUUUCCAGAGUAAAGCUGAUCUGCUCUGGGUAAGUCGGGACCUAAGGCGAGGUCGAAAGACGUAGUCGAUGGACAACAGGUUGAAAUUCCUGUACCUUAUGAAAACAGAACUGUGGGGACGCAGAGAGAAAGCCAGAGCCGGGAAUGGAAAGACCGGUACAAGCGGGGUAGUAGUCAGACAGGCAAAUCCGUCUGAUAAUACGAAGACGUUAAGUGGACCGAAACUUAAAGUAGGGAAGCUGGUGAGCUAACUGCCAAGAAAAGCCGCUAUUGUUUUUCAUAAGCCCGUACCGUAAACCGACACAGGUGGAUGAGGAGAGAAUCCUAAGGCCGACGGGAGAAGCAUUGUUAAGGAACUCGGCAAAAUAACCUCGUAACUUCGGGAGAAGAGGUGCCUGUAGCAAUACAGGCCGCAGAGAAUUGGCCCAAGCAACUGUUUAGCAAAAACACAGGUCUAUGCAAAACCGAAAGGUGAAGUAUAUGGGCUGACGCCUGCCCGGUGCUGGAAGGUUAAGGGGAGAUGUUAGGAGCAAUCCGAAGCGUUGAACUUAAGCCCCAGUAAACGGCGGCCGUAACUAUAACGGUCCUAAGGUAGCGAAAUUCCUUGUCGGGUAAGUUCCGACCCGCACGAAAGGCGUAAUGAUUUGGGCACUGUCUCGACAAUGCACCCGGUGAAAUUGAAAUACCAGUGAAGAUGCUGGUUACCUGCGCCAGGACGGAAAGACCCCAUGGAGCUUUACUCUAGCUUGAUACUGGGAUUCGGUAUUGCAUGCACAGGAUAGGUGGGAGGCAAAGAAGCUACGACUCCGGUCGUGGUGGAGCCGCUGUUGGGAUACCACCCUUGCAGUAUUGGAUUUCUAACAUGUGCCCGUGAUCCGGGCAGUGGACAAUGUCAGGUGGGGAGUUUGACUGGGGCGGUCGCCUCCGAAAGGGUAUCGGAGGCGCUCAAAGGUCUUCUCAGAAUGGUUGGAAACCAUUCGCAGAGUGCAAAGGCAUAAGAAGGCUUGACUGCGACACCGACGGGUGGAGCAGGUACGAAAGUAGGACUUAGUGAUCCGGUGGUAUAAAGUGGGAUUGCCAUCGCUCAACGGAUAAAAGCUACCCUGGGGAUAACAGGCUUAUCACUCCCAAGAGUUCACAUCGACGGAGUGGUUUGGCACCUCGAUGUCGGCUCAUCGCAUCCUGGGGCUGUAGUAGGUCCCAAGGGUUGGGCUGUUCGCCCAUUAAAGCGGUACGCGAGCUGGGUUCAGAACGUCGUGAGACAGUUCGGUCCCUAUCCGGCGCGGGCGUAGGAUAUUUGAGAGGAGCUGACCUUAGUACGAGAGGACCGGGUUGGACGAACCGCUGGUGGAUCGGUUGUACUACCAAGUGCAUGGCCGAGUAGCCAAGUUUGGAAGGGAUAAACGCUGAAGGCAUCUAAGCGUGAAGCCCCCCUCAAGAUAAGAUAUCCCAUAGCGUAAGCUAGUAAGACCCCUUGAAGACGACAAGGUGGAUAGGUUAGAGGUGGAAGCACAGUAAUGUGUGGAGCUGACUAAUACUAAUAGGUCGAGGGCUUGACCAAA